GACGAACGCUGGCGGCGCGCCUAACACAUGCAAGUCGAGCGAAGCGGCGAACGGGUGAGUAACGCGUGAGGAACCUGCCUCUUACAACGGGAUAGCCUCGGGAAACCGGGAUUAAUACCGUAUAGUAAGAGAUGGCCUCGAGUCUGGUUCGUUGGUUGGUGGGGUAACGGCCUACCAAGACGACGAUCAGUAACCGGCCUGGGAGGGUGAACGGUCACAUUGGAAUUGAGACACGGUCCAAACUCCUACGGGAGGCAGCAGUGGCGAAUCUUGCACAAUGGGGGAAACCAUGAUGCAGCGACGCCGCGUGAGCGAUGAAGGUUUUCGAAUCGUAAAGCUCUGUCCUAUGGGAAGCGGUACCAUAGGAGGAAGCCCCGGCUAACUACGUGCCAGCAGCCGCGGUAAUUC
rnacentral:rRNA from 1 species